rnacentral:rRNA from 2 species
GGGAGGUAGUGACAAUAAAUAACAAUACGGGGCUCUUUCGGGUCUCGUAAUUGGAAUGAGUACAAUUUAAAUCCCUUAACGAGGAACAAUUGGAGGGCAAGUCUGGUGCCAGCAGCCGCGGUAAUUCCAGCUCCAAUAGCGUAUAUUAAAGUUGUUGCAGUUAAAAAGCUCGUAGUUGAAUUUCGGGAUUGGCGCAUCGGUCGUGCCUCACGGGGUAUGAACUGGUGCAGUCAAUUUCUCACCUUCUGGAGAACCGCGAUGUCCUUAAUUGGAUGCCGCGGGGAACCAGGACCUUUACUUUGAAAAAAUUAGAGUGUUUAAAGCAGGCAUUUUUGCUUGAAUACAUUAGCAUGGAAUAAUAAAAUAGGACGGCAUGGUUCUAUUUUGUUGGUUUCUAGGACCACCGUAAUGAUUAAUAGGGAUAGUUGGG